ensembl:lncRNA
GGUUGUUCCAAGCCAGUAAGGAUGUGUUUUUUUAUAAAGGGAUAUGUUUUGUCAUAAUAAGCCUUAUCCAACAGUUUCAGAGCUGCUCAGAGCUCUGAGAUUCAAUGCCGUGUCUCUUUCUGUAUUGAAUUGUUUUAUUUGCAAUUUGCUCUCUGUUCUUUUGUUUCCUAAGUGCGUCUGCAGCCCUCGCUUUUGUGAGCUCUCUGCCAGGCUUGGAACUGCCCCAGAUCUGAUGAUGAACCUGCAGAAGAGAGCAGGAGGUGGACAGAAGGCUUCCUUGAGGUGCAUCAUGUUGGCGGGCUCUCCUCAGCUGAGCACUGCAUGUCCGAAGAAGGGCAAUGAAGCUGUGAAGUCUUAUGAGGAGUGGCUGAGGGAAGUAGGAUUGUUUCAGUCUGGAGAAGAGGCUCAGGGCAGACCUCAUUGCUUUCUGAAAGCAAGUUGUGGCAAAGUGGGUGUUGGUCUCCCAAGUAACAGGGAUAGGAUGAGAGGAAGAAAGAUGGCCUGCAUAGUCCGAGAGCAGAGGAAAACCUGACUGUCCCCCAGCUGUGGCAUGGCCAGCUCUCCCAUGCUCUCCAUGGAGGGGCACCACAUCCAACGCUGGACAUCACAUCCAGGAGAGCAUCUCGAUCCCACUCCCAUCUGCACCCCGUGGUGCAAGUGGCUCUUUGAGGCAGCAGAUCUCAGCGUCCAGAGUUGGAGACAACAAGACCUGAUUUUGCACUCAAGACAAAGCCUUCAAGUCAGGGCAGCUGCUUCAUCCGAAAUCUUUAAUGCAAAGCAGAGCUUUGGGACAGAUCCGUGCCUGGGGCCGAGCGAUGCAUCUUGCUAGCAGACAGAGCCGCUGCGGGCUGGGCCCUCUUGCUGAAGGCUCAUUUAAUUUGAAACUUGCUGCUCUGUCAGGGCCUAGAGCCACCAAUCCCCUGGGCACAGUGAGAUCCAUCUGUUUACCAAGCUCUGCACGUCCAGGGCAUGACAAGGAACUUGGCCGGGCCGGGCCGAGCGGGCUGGUUUGAAUCUUGCCUCUUUCUUGUGGGAUCGUGUCGGGGGAGAAGUGAAUCCAGAGAUGGGCUUUGAUGCUGGCACUUGCUGGCAGCAUGCUGCAAAUGUGGACGGGUGGUUCCCGCGCUGCAAAUGUGCUGUGGGCAUGGGCAGCGGGCACAGCGACACUCAGAUAAAUUAAAUAUUUCUCAGGAAUGGGGUGGGGACGUCAACAGAACCUCUGCCUUAUGCAAUUGCCGCCAGCACUACAACAGAUUCAAAGCAGCUGCUGUUGGCUUUCCCUCUUUGCUUUCAUAAAGUGGUUGUUUGUGUGCUGGAUCCUGAUGGAUGAGGCGGUGGGGGAGGGAGAAAGGGACGUGUGUGAGGGAAGCACGAGGGUGGCUGGGUGAAGGGAUAGUGCCCACAUCUGCUGUUGUUGGCCAGGAAUUGAUGGACAGCUUGAAGCUCGGCCAACCCUAAAGGAAGAGCAGUCCUCUUGUGAGCCCAUGCAAGGACAGAGAGCUGAGGAAGUCCAUGGAGGGCCGUAAACAGGGAGUGGUAGUACUGAGCCAAAAGGAUAUUCCUGGAAACACCAACUGGAGAAAGAUGUUUCCAUUGAUGCCAGACAAGAUGCAGCUCCUAGUUGCUGAGGCACAGGAUGAGUGCAGUGAGAUCUUUGACUCAAAUAGAAGGAGAAGGAUGAUAUUGUUGGGGUAUCGAGAAGUUUUAAACUGAGACAGGGGAGGUUUAGGUUGGAUAUUAGGAAGAAGUUUUUCACCCAGAGGGUGGUGAAGCACUGGAACAGGUUGCCCAAGGAGGGUGGAUGCCCCAUCCCUGGAGGCAUUCAAGGCCAGGCUGGAUGUGGCUCUGGGCAGCCUGGGCUGGUGGUUGGCGACCCUGCACAUAGCAGGGGGGUUGAAACUAGAUGGUCAUUGUGAUCCUUUUCAACCCAGGCUAUUCUGUGAUUCUGUGAUUCUAAGUAGAAUCACAGACUCAUAGAAUAUCCCAGGUUGGAAGAGGUCCAUAAGGACCACUAAGUCCAGCUCCUGGCUCCGCAUAGGAUCACCCAAAUUCCAAACACUAUGGCUGAGUCCAUUGUCCAAACUCUCCUUGAACUCCAGCAGCUUAGGGCCAUGACCACGGCCCUGGGGAGCCUGUUCCAUGCCCACUACCCUGUAAAUAAUAAAUAAAUAAAAGAAGGGCAAGAAGUAGGAGAAGUGGUAAGUUCCUGCCAGUGGCUAUGGCUCUGUGUCUGUGCCUUGCAGGGUAGCCCAGGUUGAAUUUUCUAUCUCAUCUCAGAAACAAGAUCUCCAGCAUGCAGCACUGUAGCAACAGCCUGGACUAAAAAUUUAAAACCCAAGCAUGGAGGAAUGGACACUACCCAUUCAGGCCCUUUCCCAACCCAGAUAUGCUUGCCUUCAGCCACAUAUUGUUGCCUUUUUUUCCUUUUUUUUUUUUUUCAGCCCCAGUAUUCACCAGCUUCUUUCUAUUCAAAUAACACUGAAACACGCUCAUAUGAGGGUGAGCAUGUCUUUACAUAUAACUAGUAUUUCAGCAAAACCCCAGGAGCAAUCAAAUCAUCACUCAAAUAGAGACACUCCAGCCAGAUAUCCACAAAGAAGUCUUUUCCAUCAUUCCAGGAAAUCAUCCCUCAGCUGUCUCCAGUAAUCCUAUUGUGAAUAGAUGUCUUUUGCCACUUUCCCAGAAUGUCCACAAAUGCAGGGGGUUUUGGAUCCAGGGAGGACAGCACAGGAAAACCAAGAUUUAAUGUCUCAAUGGAGGCAAAGAAAUUGCCCUGCCAGCCAGCUCUCUAUCCAUACUGAGGUGGAAUGAGACCCAGCCCUACCAAAGAGGCAGAGAAGUAAUUUUACUGAGCUUCUUCAGGCCUCAACUAGCCUUUAAACACAUAAUUGGUGCAGUUUAAGUGUUGCUUGGUUUGACAGAGGCCUUCAGAAUCACAUUCAUGAUGGGACUCGGAGAAAGGGUGUUAGCCAAAGGCUGCAAAGGGGUUUGAGUAUUCAUAUCCUUUGCAUUCAUUUCAAGUCCAGCUCUUCCAUUGCACUGGGUAAGGAACUGACCGUGGAAUGUCUGCAGUGGAGAACACCUCCCAGCACAACAGCUCUCCAUUUCUAGAGGCCGGGCUUUAUCUGCUCAUGGUUGCUUUGUAUUUUGCUCUUUGAGGUGGUAGCCACAUGCAUAAGGUCUCCUGGUUUUGCUUGUUUCUCUGAGCAACGAGCUCAUUGCAGAGCUGUGUAUGCUAAAAAAAAGGAGCCUACAUGGCCAUGGUUUCAUUUUACUCUUUGAGCUUCCGUGGUGGGAAGAUAAAAAUGAGGAAGAGUUUGCUCUGUGUGUUGGGUUUCUUACCAUUCUGAUAUUUGCUUCAGAUCUUUUUCCAUUAGAAAAGCUUUGCACAGGGAGCUAGGGCCCACCAAGAGCUCAGACCUCACCCACACAUCUAAGACAUCCUUCCUACCUUCAAUCCAGUGACCAUUUUCUUAGGAAUGGCAGGAAAUAAGCCCAGGAGGACACUGCCCACCUUCACUGCAGCCCUCUUGCACCUGGGGUCAGGAUGUGGAACCAGACAGAGACUUCUUGCACGAACUCAUUGAACCUCUGAAUCAUUGCCCUUGUCCUCGAUGGACUUCCUCAGCAAAGGAAGGUCCAGAUAUGGGUCUGUUUCAGGGGUGGACACUGCAUGCUGAGGGCUUAGGUCACCAGGUCUACUAGUCUACCUAGAUUUGCAGUGGUAAACAUGGUGGACAGUGGGAAUCUUCUCCUUGCCCUACCUCUUCCAGGGAGAAACUUUCCCAUUUGUUUGUCUGUCAGUUUCUCCCCACUGACAAGAGAUGCUGGCAGUGUGUCCCAUCCCCAUAACAUACUUAUCUGGAGCUUUUUCUUUCCUGAGGACAGAACAUGGGGUAGGUCUGAGCCUCUCCAAGUACAUUAGAAGUAUUCUGCGAAGAGGUACAAGCUGAAGCCUUUCUCCCUCUGCAUUUUCCCUUCUGAUUAUUAAGUUCAGGAUUAGCAUUUUGGAUUAUGAUUAUAUUUAUUGCAGUUUCACUCUUGUCUUAGUUCUGCUUUCACAUUAAAGUGUGUUACAUACAUCCAAAUUCCCAUGUGCUGGUCAGCUCAAGGGUUGUAGGGUUGAAACCUGUUCAGUAAAGCAGCUGCUCAAGAGCUCCUAAGUGGGAAGUGUGACUUUCCUUGGCCAUUGUUCUGUCCCCCUUUUGUUCAGCAUCUCUUCCCUUUAUGUUGGUAGAAGCAUUGGUUGAGAACUGCUGCAAGGGGAGGCUCUGGGCUGCCUUCAUGCAAAGAGCAGGCUGAAAGGCUGUGCAGGAGGCAAGGCAGCUCUGCCCACUUUAUCUGGGCACUGAAGGGCUUGGAAUAAAACACAGAGAUGAAAGGGUGUUUCAAAUAAGAACCUAUUGUACCUUCUCCCUUGCAAUCAUUUUCCAGGGCCUUUGAAGGUAACUUAGUUGCUGUCUUGAUCAAAUAUUCCUCAGCAGAAAUAAACCCCUAUUAACAUCCAAGGUCUUACCUUGUUUACUCAUAACACUCCUACUCAAGUGUGGAACGCUGAGUGUGAAUCAGUUC